UACGUAGGGCGCAAGCGUUGUCCGGAAUUAUUGGGCGUAAAGAGCUCGUAGGCGGUCUGUUACGUCUGCUGUGAAAACCCAGGGCUUAACCCUAGGGCUUGCAGUGGAUACGGGCAGACUAGAGGCAGGUAGGGGAGAAUGGAAUUCCCGGUGUAGCGGUGAAAUGCGCAGAUAACGGUGAGGAACACCGGUGGCGAAGGCGGUUCUCUGGGCCUGACCUGACGCUGAGGAGCGAAAGCGUGGGGAGCGAACAGG
rnacentral:rRNA from 1 species